rnacentral:rRNA from 1 species
GAUGAACGCUGGCGGCGUGCUUAACACAUGCAAGUCGAACGAGAGAAGAUCGGUGCUUGCACUGAUCCGAUCGAGUGGCGGACGGGUGAGUAACGCGUGGGUAACCUGCCUCAUACAGGGGAAUAACAGUUGGAAACGGCUGCUAAAACCGCAUAAGCGCACAGUAUUGCAUGAUACAGUGUGAAAAACUCCGGUGGUAUGAGAUGGACCCGCGUCUGAUUAGCUAGUUGGUGAGGUAACGGCCCACCAAGGCGACGAUCAGUAGCCGGCCUGAGAGGGUGAACGGCCACAUUGGGACUGAGACACGGCCCAAACUCCUACGGGAGGCAGCAGUGGGGAAUAUUGCACAAUGGGGGAAACCCUGAUGCAGCGACGCCGCGUGAGUGAUGAAGUAUUUCGGUAUGUAAAGCUCUUUCAGCAGGGAAGAUAAUGACGGUACCUGACUAAGAAGCACCGGCUAAAUACGUGCCAGCAGCCGCCGCAGUAA